CAUAGGUUAAUGAGGCGAACCGGGGGAACUGAAACAUCUAAGUACCCCGAGGAAAAGAAAUCAACCGAGAUUCCCCCAGUAGCGGCGAGCGAACGGGGAGGAGCCCAGAGCCUGAAUCAGCAUGUGUGUUAGUGGAAGCGUCUGGAAAGGCGCGCGAUACAGGGUGACAGCCCCGUACACAAAAGCGCAUGUGCUGUGAGCUCGAUGAGUAGGGCGGGACACGUGGUAUCCUGUCUGAAUAUGGGGGGACCAUCCUCCAAGGCUAAAUACUCCUGACUGACCGAUAGUGAACCAGUACCGUGAGGGAAAGGCGAAAAGAACCCCGGCGAGGGGAGUGAAAAAGAACCUGAAACCGUGUACGUACAAGCAGUGGGAGCACCCUUUUGGGUGUGACUGCGUACCUUUUGUAUAAUGGGUCAGCGACUUAUAUUCUGUAGCAAGGUUAACCGUAUAGGGGAGC
rnacentral:rRNA from 1 species